rnacentral:rRNA from 1 species
AGAGUUUGAUCCUGGCUCAGGACGAACGCUGGCGGCGUGCCUAAUACAUGCAAGUCGAGCGGACCGGGCGGGAGCUUGCUUCCGCUUGGUUAGCGGCGGACGGGUGAGUAACACGUGGGUAACCUGCCCGUAAGACCGGGAUAACUCCGGGAAACCGGGGCUAAUACCGGAUAACACCGAAGACCGCAUGGUCUUCGGUUGAAAGGCGGCUUCGGCUGCCACUUACGGAUGGGCCCGCGGCGCAUUAGCUAGUUGGUGAGGUAACGGCUCACCAAGGCGACGAUGCGUAGCCGGCCUGAGAGGGUGACCGGCCACACUGGGACUGAGACACGGCCCAGACUCCUACGGGAGGCAGCAGUAGGGAAUCUUCCGCAAUGGACGAAAGUCUGACGGAGCGACGCCGCGUGAGCG